GUAGUUUGAUCAUGGCUCAGGAUGAACGCUAGCGGCAGGCUUAACACAUGCAAGUCGGAGGGGCAGCGGGGUGUAGCAAUACACUGCCGGCGACCGGCGCACGGGUGCGUAACGCGUAUGCAACCUACCCAUAACAGGGGCAUAACACUGAGAAAUUGGUACUAAUUCCCAAUAACAUUCGAAGAGGCAUCUCUUUGGGUUGAAAACUCCGGUGGUUAUGGAUGGGCAUGCGUUGUAUUAG
rnacentral:rRNA from 1 species